UCGAGAAUUUUUCUCAAUGGGCGCAAGCCUGAAGGAGCGACGCCGCGUGGGGGAUGAAUGGCUUCGGCCCGUAAACCCCUGUCAUUUGCGAACAAACCUUACGGUUGAACAGACCGUGAGCUGAUUGUAGCGGAAGAGGAAGGGACGGCUAACUCUGUGCCAGCAGCCGCGGUAAUACAGAGGUCCCAAGCGUUGUUCGGAUUCACUGGGCGUAAAGGGUGCGUAGGUGGCAGGGUAAGUUUGAUGUGAAAUCUCCGAGCUUAACUCGGAAACUGCAUUGAAUACUAUCCUGCUUGAGGGUUGGAGGGGAGACUGGAAUUCUCGGUGUAGCAGUGAAAUGCGUAGAUAUCGAGAGGAACACCAGUGGCGAAGGCGAGUCUCUGGACAACUCCUGACACUGAGGCACGAAAGCUAGGGGAGCAAACAGGAUUAGAUACCCCCGUAGUCC
rnacentral:rRNA from 1 species